GGAGGCUUUGAAGUGUGGACGCCAGUCUGCAUGGAGCCGACCUUGAAAUACCACCCUUUAAUGUUUGAUGUUCUAACGUGGACCCGUAAUCCGGGUUGCGGACAGUGUCUGGUGGGUAGUUUGACUGGGGCGGUCUCCUCCUAAAGAGUAACGGAGGAGCACGAAGGUUGGCUAAUCCUGGUCGGACAUCAGGAGGUUAGUGCAAUGGCAUAAGCCAGCUUGACUGCGAGCGUGACGGCGCGAGCAGGUGCGAAAGCAGGUCAUAGUGAUCCGGUGGUUCUGAAUGGAAGGGCCAUCGCUCAACGGAUAAAAGGUACUCCGGGGAUAACAGGCUGAUACCGCCCAAGAGUUCAUAUCGACGGCGGUGUUUGGCACCUCGAUGUCGGCUCAUCACAUCCUGGGGCUGAAGUAGGUCCCAAGGGUAUGGCUGUUCGCCAUUUAAAGUGGUACGCGAGCUGGGUUUAGAACGUCGUGAGACAGUUCGGUCCCUAUCUGCCGUGGGCGCUGGAGAACUGAGGGGGGCUGCUCCUAGUACGAGAGGACCGGAGUGGACGCAUCACUGGUGUUCGGGUUGUCAUGCCAAUGGCACUGCCCGGUAGCUAAAUGCGGAAGAGAUAAGUGCUGAAAGCAUCUAAGCACGAAACUUGCCCCGAGAUGAGUUCUCCCUGAGACUUAGAGUCUCCUGAAGGAACGUUGAAGACGACGACGUUGAUAGGCCGGGUGUGUAAGCGCAGCGAUGCGUUGAGCUAACCGGUACUAAUGAACCGUGAGGCUUAACCUUACAACGCCGAAG
rnacentral:rRNA from 1 species